rnacentral:rRNA from 1 species
GACGAACGCUGGCGGCGUGCUUAACACAUGCAAGUCGAACGGAAAGGCCCUGCUUUUGUGGGGUGCUCGAGUGGCGAACGGGUGAGUAACACGUGAGUAACCUGCCCUUGACUGUGGGAUAACUUCAGGAAACUGGGGCUAAUACCGGAUAGGAGCUCCUGCUGCAUGGUGGGGGUUGGAAAGUUUCGGCGGUUGGGGAUGGAAUGGCGGCUUAUCAGCUUGUUGGUGGGGUAGUGGCUUACCAAGGCUUUGACGGGUAGCCGGCCUGAGAGGGUGACCGGCCACAUUGGGACUGAGAUACGGCCCAGACUCCUACGGGAGGCAGCAGUGGGGAAUAUUGCAUAAUGGGCGGAAGGCUGAUGCAGCAACGCAGCGUGCGGGAUGACGGCCUUCGGGUUGUAAACCGCUUUCGCCUGUGACGAAGCGUGAGUGACGGUAAUGGGUAAAGAAGCACCGGCUAACUACGUG